rnacentral:rRNA from 1 species
GACGAACGCUGGCGGCGUGCCUAAUACAUGCAAGUCGAACGCUUCUUUCCUCCCGAGUGCUUGCACUCAAUUGGAAAGAGGAGUGGCGGACGGGUGAGUAACACGUGGGUAACCUACCCAUCAGAGGGGGAUAACACUUGGAAACAGGUGCUAAUACCGCAUAACAGUUUAUGCCGCAUGGCAUAAGAGUGAAAGGCGCUUUCGGGUGUCGCUGAUGGAUGGACCCGCGGUGCAUUAGCUAGUUGGUGAGGUAACGGCUCACCAAGGCCACGAUGCAUAGCCGACCUGGGAGGGUGAUCGGCCACACUGGGACGGAGACACGGCCCAGACUCCUACGGGAGGCAGCAGUAGGGAAUCUUCGGCAAUGGACGAAAGUCUGACCGAGCAACGCCGCGUGAGUGAAGAAGGUUUUCGGAUCGUAAAACUCUGUUGUUAGAGAAGAACAAGGACGUUAGUAACUGAACGUCCCCGGACGGUAUCUAACCAGAAAGCCACGGCUAACUACGU